rnacentral:rRNA from 1 species
GACGAACGCUGGCGGCGUGCUUAACACAUGCAAGUCGAACGGAAAGGCCUGCUUUCCCUUGUGGAUUGCGGGUACUCGAGUGGCGAACGGGUGAGUAACACGUGAGUGAUCUGCCCCCAACUUGGGUAUAAGCCUGGGAAACUGGGUCUAAUUCCCGAUAGGACUGCAGGGUGGUGCCUGUGGUGGAAAACGAUUUUCUAGUGGUUGGGGAUGAGCUCGCGGCCUAUCAGCUUGUUGGUGGGGUAAUGGCCUACCAAGGCGGGGUCGGGUAGCCGGCCUGGGAGGGUGGACGGCCACAUUGGGACUGAGACACGGCCCUGACUCCUACGGGAGGCAGCAGUGGUGAAUAUUGCACAAUGGGCGGAAGCCUGAUGCAGCGACGCCGCGUGGGGGAUGACGGCCUUCGGGUUGUAAGCUCCUUUCGACCGCGAGGAAGCCACCUGGUUGGAUGGGUGGUGACGGUAGUGGUAGAAGAAGCACCGGCUAACUACGUG